rnacentral:rRNA from 1 species
GAUGAACGCUGGCGGCGUGCUUAACACAUGCAAGUCGAACGGUGAAAGAGAGCUUGCUCCCUGGAUCAGUGGCGAACGGGUGAGUAACACGUGAGCAAUCUGCCCCUGACUCUGGGAUAAGCGCUGGAAACGGCGUCUAAUACCGGAUACGAGCUGCGAAGGCAUCUUCAGCAGCUGGAAAGAACUUCGGUCAGGGAUGAGCUCGCGGCCUAUCAGCUAGUUGGUGAGGUAACGGCUCACCAAGGCGUCGACGGGUAGCCGGCCUGAGAGGGUGACCGGCCACACUGGGACUGAGACACGGCCCAGACUCCUACGGGAGGCAGCAGUGGGGAAUAUUGCACAAUGGGCGAAAGCCUGAUGCAGCAACGCCGCGUGAGGGACGACGGCCUUCGGGUUGUAAACCUCUUUUAGCAGGGAAGAAGCGAAAGUGACGGUACCUGCAGAAAAAGCGCCGGCUAACUACGUG